AUAGUGGUAGCUCAGUGCUUAAAAUGUUGGACUUCCAAGCAAAAGGUUGUGAGUUCAAAUCCCAUCACUCGA